AGAGUUUGAUCCUGGCUCAGAACGAACGCUGGCGGCGUGGAUAAGACAUGCAAGUCGAACGGGACUUACUUAGCUUGCUUUGUAAGUUUAGUGGCGAACGGGUGAGUAACACGUGAGCAACCUGCCCAGAAGCGGGGGAUAGCUCGAGGAAACUCGAAUUAAUACCGCAUGUGAUCCCGUGCAGCAUUGCACGGAGAUUAAAGGUGCCUUCGGGUGCCACUUCUGGAUGGGCUCGCGGCCUAUCAGUUAGUUGGUGAGGUAACGGCUCACCAAGGCAAUGACGGGUAGCUGGUCUGAGAGGAUGAUCAGUCACACUGGAACUGAGACACGGUCCAGACACCUACGGGUGGCAGCAGUCGAGAAUCAUUCGCAAUGGACGAAAGUCUGACGGUGCGACGCCGCGUGGAGGAUGACGGCCCUAGGGUUGUAAACUCCUGUCAUCAGAGAGUAAGGUUUUUGGGUUAAUAGCCUAAGAAAUUGAUAGUAUCUGAAGAGGAAGGGACGGCUAACUUCGUGCCAGCAGCCGCGGUAAUACGAAGGUCCCAAGCGUUGUUCGGAUUUACUGGGCGUAAAGAGUACGUAGGCGGUGAGGUAAGUCAGAUGUGAAAGCCCAGGGCUCAACCUUGGAACUGCAUCCGAUACUGCCUCACUUGAGUAAUGGAGGGGCAUCUGGAAUUCACGGUGUAGCAGUGAAAUGCGUAGAUAUCGUGAGGAACACUAGUGGCGAAGGCGAGACGCUGGACAUUUACUGACGCUGAGGUACGAAGGCCAGGGUAGCGAAAAGGAUUAGAUACCCUUGUAGUCCUGGCAGUAAACGGUGCUCGCUUGGUGUGGGGAGGUUCGACCCUCUCCGUGCCGGAGCUAACGCGUUAAGCGAGCCGCCUGGGGAGUACGGCCGCAAGGCUAAAACUCAAAGAAAUUGACGGGGACCCGCACAAGCGGUGGAGUAUGUGGCUUAAUUCGAUGCAACGCGAAGAACCUUACCUGGGCUUGACAUGCUUAUCGUAUCUCUAUGAAAGUAGGGAGUCAGUUCGGCUGGAUUUGCACAGGUGCUGCAUGGCUGUCGUCAGCUCGUGUCGUGAGAUGUUGGGUUAAGUCCCGCAACGAGCGCAACCCUUGUGUCCUGUUGCCAGCGAGUAAUGUCGGGGACUCUGGACAGACUGCCGGUGCUUAAACCGGAGGAAGGUGGGGAUGACGUCAAGUCAGUAUGGCCCUUAUGCCCAGGGCUGCACACGUACUACAAUGCUCAGUACAAUGUGAACCGAUACCGCGAGGUGGAGGAAAUCCUGAAAACUGAGCUCAGUUCGGAUUGGAGGCCGCAACUCGCCUCCAUGAAGUCGGAAUCGCUAGUAAUGCCGUAUCAGCUACGACGGCGUGAAUACGUUCCCGGGUCUUGUACACACCGCCCGUCACAUCAUGGAAGCCGCUCGCACCCGAAGUGCCAACAAUUAGUAGGUCCUAAGGUGUAGGUGGUAACUGGGAUGAAGUCGUAACAAGGUAACC
rnacentral:rRNA from 1 species